rnacentral:rRNA from 1 species
GAGUAAUUAGAGUGUUCAAAGCAGCCUGUAUGGGCAUUGAAUAGAUUAGCAUGGGAUAAUAGAAUAGGAUUCUUACCUAUUUAUUGGUUUAUAGGUUUAGAAUAAUGAUUAAUAGGGAUAGUUGGGGGCACUUGUAUUCAAUAGUCAGAGGUGAAAUUCUAGGAUUUAUUGAAGACAAACUUCAGCGAAAGCAUUUGCCAAGGAUGUUUUCAUUAAUCAAGAACGAAAGUUAGGGGAUCGAAGACGAUUAGACACCGUCGUAGUCUUAACUAUAAAACUAUGCCGACCAGGGAUAUGAGAGUUUUAUAUUUAUACUAUGAACAAUAGUAUAAUCUCUUGUGGACCUUGUGAGAAAUCAUAAGUUUUUGGGUUCUGGGGGGGAGUAUGGUCGCAAGGCUGAAACUUAAAGGAAUUGACGGAG